rfam:Nitrospirae bacterium HCH-1 contig075, whole genome shotgun sequence.
GAGGGAAGACCCCUCGCAAUCGGCUUGCAGGAGCAGGUUGCAAACCACCGUAAGCGGCUUGG